rnacentral:rRNA from 1 species
ACGAACGCUGGCGGCGUGCUUAACCCAUGCAAGUCGAACGGAAAGGCCCUGCUUUUGUGGGGUGCUCGAGUGGCGAACGGGUGAGUAACACGUGAGUAACCUGCCCUUGACUUUGGGAUAACUUCAGGAAACUGGGGCUAAUACCGGAUAGGAGCUCCUGCUGCAUGGUGGGGGUUGGAAAGUUUCGGCGGUUGGGGAUGGACUCGCGGCUUAUCAGCUUGUUGGUGGGGUAGUGGCUUACCAAGGCUUUGACGGGUAGCCGGCCUGAGAGGGUGACCGGCCACAUUGGGACUGAGAGACGGCCCAGACUCCUACGGGGGGCAGCAGUGGGGAAUAGUGCACAAUGGGCGGAAGCCUGAUGCAGCGACGCCGCGUGCGGGAUGACGGCCUUCGGGUCGUAAACCGCUUUCGCCUGUGACGAAGCGUGAGUGACGGUAAUGGGUAAAGAAGCACCGGCUAACUACGUG